rnacentral:rRNA from 1 species
GGUCCGGUGAAGUGUUCGGAUCGCUGCGAGUGGGUGGGUUCACCGCCCGUGAUUCAGCAAGAAGUCCAUUGAACCUUAUCAUUUAGAGGAAGGAGGUGUCGUAACAAGGUUUCCGUAGGUGAACCUGCGGAAGGAUCAUUG